UACAGAGGUCUCAAGCGUUGUUCGGAUUCAUUGGGCGUAAAGGGUGCGUAGGUGGCGCGCUAAGUCAGGUGUGAAAUUUCGGAGCUUAACUCCGAAACUGCAUUUGAUACUGGCGUGCUUGAGGACUGGAGAGGAGACUGGAAUUUACGGUGUAGCAGUGAAAUGCGUAGAGAUCAUGAGGAAGACCAGUGGCGAAGGCGGGUCUCUGGACAGUUCCUGACACUGAGACACGAAGGCCAGGGGAGCAAACGGG
rnacentral:rRNA from 1 species